GUGGGGAAUAUUGGACAAUGGGCGCAAGCCUGAUCCAGCCAUACCGCGUGGGUGAAGAAGGCCUUCGGGUUGUAAAGCCCUUUUGUUGGGAAAGAAAUCCUGUCGGUUAAUACCUGGCGGGGAUGACGGUACCCAAAGAAUAAGCACCGGCUAACUUCGUGCCAGCAGCCGCGGUAAUACGAAGGGUGCAAGCGUUACUCGGAAUUACUGGGCGUAAAGCGUGCGUAGGUGGUGGUUUAAGUCCGUUGUGAAAGCCCUGGGCUCAACCUGGGAAUGUCAGUGGAUACUGGAUCACUAGAGUGUGGUAGAGGGAUGCGGAAUUUCUGGUGUAGCAGUGAAAUGCGUAGAGAUCAGAAGGAACAUCCGUGGCGAAGGCGGCAUCCUGGGCCAACACUGACACUGAGGCACGAAAGCGUGGGGAGCAAACAGGAUUAGAAACCCGGGUAGUCC
rnacentral:rRNA from 1 species